rnacentral:tRNA from 1 species
GCGGGAGUAGCUCAACUGGUAGAGCAUCAGCCUUCCAAGCUGAGGGUCGCGGGUUCGAAUCCCGUCUCCCGCU